AUAGGACGACAAUUAAAUAAGCAAUAUAAUUUGAUACUUUAAUAACUAAAGAAAGCGUAGUUAGGACAUUUAUUUCAUACCAAUCAAUAGAUAGAGAUAAAAUGAUUAAGUAAACUAAUAAACGAGAAGAUAAUUAAGGUCAAUAAAUUAAACACACGAUGUAAUAGUAAGCAAUUGAGACACUAUAGAAAUAAAUAGGCAACAUAGAUAAACUAUACACUGACUAGUUAUCGGCUCCAUUGGUGACCUAUACUUAAUUAAUAA
rnacentral:lncRNA from 1 species